rnacentral:rRNA from 1 species
UACGUAGGGUGCGAGCGUUAAUCGGAAUUACUGGGCGUAAAGCGUGCGCAGGCGGUUCGUUGUGUCGGGUGUGAAAGCCCCGGGCUCAACCUGGGAAUGGCAUUCGAAACUGGCGGGCUGGAGUGUGGCAGAGGGGGGUGGAACUCCUGGUGUAGCAGUGAAAUGCGUAGAGAUCAGGAAGAACACCGAUGGCGAAGGCAGCCCCCUGGGCUAACACUGACGCUCAGGCACGAAAGCGUGGGGAGCAAACAGG